rnacentral:tRNA from 1 species
UCCCUGGUGGCCCAGUGGUUAGGACUGCACUUCCAGUGCAGGGGGUGCAGGUUUGACCCCUGGUCAGGGAA